AUACUAUGAUGAGGGCACUUUUGUAAUAACUCCUUGAACCGCUACUAUGCCUCAUAUAAAGAUUCUUCAUCAAGUUGCAAAAAUAAAGUGAUUUCAUUUCAGAUCUU
rfam:Gossypium hirsutum cultivar TM-1 chromosome 6, whole genome shotgun sequence